rnacentral:rRNA from 1 species
GUGGGGAAUAUUGGACAAUGGGCGAAAGCCUGAUCCAGCCAUGUCGCGUGUGUGAAGAAGGUCUUCGGAUUGUAAAGCACUUUAAGUUGGGAGGAAGGGCAGUAAGUUAAUACCUUGCUGUUUUGACGUUACCGACAGAAUAAGCACCGGCUAACUUCGUGCCAGCAGCCGCGGUAAUACGAAGGGUGCAAGCGUUAAUCGGAAUUACUGGGCGUAAAGCGCGCGUAGGUGGUUUUGUAAGUUGGAGGUGAAAUCCCCGGGCUCAACCUGGGAACUGCCUCCAAAACUGCAUGACUAGAGUACGGUAGAGGGUAGUGGAAUUUCCUGUGUAGCGGUGAAAUGCGUAGAUAUAGGAAGGAACACCAGUGGCGAAGGCGACUACCUGGACUGAUACUGACACUGAGGUGCGAAAGCGUGGGGAGCAAACAGGAUUAGAUACCCUAGAAGUCC